rnacentral:tRNA from 1 species
GGGGCUGUGGGGUAGCUUGGUAUCCUUCGCGGAUGGGGUCCGCGCGACCCGGGUUCAAAUCCUGGCAGCCCCA